rnacentral:rRNA from 1 species
AUUGAACGCUGGCGGAAUGCUUUACACAUGCAAGUCGAACGGCAGCACGGACUUCGGUCUGGUGGCGAGUGGCGAACGGGUGAGUAAUGUAUCGGAACGUGCCCAGUCGUGGGGGAUAACGUAGUGAAAAUUACGCUAAUACCGCAUACGAUCUAUGGAUGAAAGCGGGGGAUCGCAAGACCUCGCGCGAUUGGAGCGGCCGAUAUCAGAUUAGGUAGUUGGUGGGGUAAAGGACCACCAAGCCAACGAUCUGUAGCUGGUCUGAGAGGAGGACCAGCCACACUGGAACUGAGACACGGUCCAGACUCAUACGGGAGGCAGCAGUGGGGAAUUUUGGACAAUGGGCGAAAGCCUGAUCCAGCCAUUCCGCGUGCAGGAUGAAGGCCCUCGGGUUGUAAACUGCUUUUGUACAGAACGAAAAGGUUUCUACUAAUACUAGGAGCUCAUGACGGUACUGUAAGAAUAAGCACCGGCUAACUACGUGCCAGCCGCCGCCGUAA